UACGUAGGGAGCAAGCGUUGUCCGGAAUCAUUGGGCGUAAAGCGCGCGUAGGUGGCUUCGUAAGUCCGUUGUGAAAGUCAAAGGCUCAACCUUUGAAAGCCGAUGGAUACUGUGAAGCUAGAGUACGGAAGAGGCGAGUGGAAUUCCUGGUGUAGCGGUGGAAUGCGCAGAUAUCAGGAGGAACACCAAUAGCGAAGGCAGCUCUCUGGGACGGUACUGACGCUGAGACGCGAAAGCGUGGGGAGCGAACAGG
rnacentral:rRNA from 1 species